AGUGAACGCUGGCGGUAGGCCUAACACAUGCCAGUCGAACGGCAGCACAUUAAGAGCUUGCUCUUACGGGUGGCGAGUGGCGGACGGGUGAGGAAUACAUCGGAAUCUACUUUUUCGUGGGGGAUAACGUAGGGAAACUUACGCUAAUACCGCAUACGACCUACGGGUGAAAGCAGGGGAUCUUCGGACCUUGCGCGAUUGAAUGAGCCGAUGUCGGAUUAGCUAGUUGGCGGGGUAAAGGCCCACCAAGGCGACGAUCCGUAGCUGGUCUGAGAGGAUGAUCAGCCACACUGGAACUGAGACACGGUCCAGACUCCUACGGGAGGCAGCAGUGGGGAAUAUUGGACAAUGGGCGCAAGCCUGAUCCAGCCAUACCGCGUGGGUGAAGAAGGCCUUCGGGUUGUAAAGCCCUUUUGUUGGGAAAGAAAAGCAGCAGGUUAAUACCCCGCUGUUCUGACGGUACCCAAAGAAUAAGCACCGGCUAACUUCGUG
rnacentral:rRNA from 1 species